AGCCACGAGGUGAGCACAAAGCGAACUACUCCUUCACCCUUUACUAAAAAAAUGCCGUGUGCUAGCUGCAAUUAGUGGCAUACGCCAAUUUUUUUAGGAGUUUCUCUUCACAGAGGAGCU